UCCAUACUCUUUUCGUUCCAAAUUACUCAUCGCGAAAAUGGAUGUAUCUAGAACUAAAAUAUAUCUAGAUACAUCCAUACCUGCGAUAAGUAAUUUGGAACGGAGGGAGUAUAUC
rfam:Triticum urartu cultivar G1812 contig104686, whole genome shotgun sequence.